ensembl:lncRNA
CAGUGAACAAAAUAACCACUUUUAUAGAAAUCUGCAUAUAAGUUUUAAAUGGAUGAUAAAAGCAUUCUAACAGACCGCGAUUCGUUGAUUCUAAUUAGUAGGCAUCCCUUUAACAGGACCGAAAGGUGAUGGUUGGGGUUCUCCGGCCUCUUGAAAAAUACACACACCCCAUUAUCAGGAAGCGCCUGAGCGCAUCAGGAGGACAGAUUGGUCCAGUUCUCCACGCUGCGCCACAAUAAAGAACCUCUUUCGCGCUAGAACGAUUGUAUAUACCUCUAUAACAGUCGCUGCAUUAGCUGCAUUGUUUCAUCUGUAAUAGUGGGAGGCUGGAGCGUAUCGUGGGAGGCAGUUUGCGGUUCGCUCGGUCAGUGUAGGUUAGCGCUGCCAUUAUAUCCACUGGGUUGUGCGAGACAUCGAACGGAUGGAGGACUAUACUACGGGUGGAGCUGGAACGGAUGAAUAAGGGAUUUUUAGAGACCUGCAUUAACAUUGCACACGCGUUUUUUACGGCUCUCUAUAUCGGGGUUCCCCCAGCAGUUAUCUUGCAGAGGCGGGUAGGCUUUAAACAAUAGCGCCCGGAGGAGCGCUGGAUACAGUAUCGCUGAGCGCACAACCUCGGGCAUCAUCAUCACCAUUCACUACUACGAGCGUUCACCAAUGGAGACGGCCACGCGCUCUAGUGUUCCUCACACAUAGAUUUCAAAGAACCGUAGGCGUAAAGUCCGACCAUCAUCAUAACCAUCAUCCGUGGAAACGUAUCCUGCAAUGAUGAAUUCUGCCGAGGCGGCUGAGGAAGGACCGAACGAUCCAGAUACGGAGCCGUUUUUCAAAACUGCACCUUCUCUAAUUACGUUACUAUCACCUCUGGACGCGCCGGGGAUCGCGCUGCGCGGCGCGGCGGGCGCGGGAGUGGCUCAGCCUUUUGUCGGUCGUGACAUUGAUUCAUGUUUCUAAAGCCUGUUGAUUCAAACAAACAGUAGAUGGUCUGAGUGCUAUACUUUCUUUUUCAUGAGAAACAGAAAAGCUUUUUAUUAUGAGAAAAGGCAGCGUGGAGAGAUGCAAGAAGGGAAUCUACUCUUCUGCAUCCAGCCAAGCCCCUGCUCAUGUCCACCCUGACACCUCCACCAGCUGUGGUUUAGUGAUUUUGUUCACUUUUAUGUACUAGAGAUUAUCCAGUGCAUGAGCUAUGACCCUUAAAACUGACCCACUUCUGGUAACAUAAGCCAAUAAUGCACAUCUGUCUGUAUGUUCCCUAUGUAAAGCUCUGUGUGCUUCUGUGUUGGAAUGUGAACAUGCAUCUAUGCAUGUCAUAUGUGAGUAUGAAUGAUAUGGCGUGCACUCACUGUGUUUUGUGAAUAAAUAUAUAUUAUGUGUCAUUUGCAUCUACCCUGGUGUGGUGCGGAUGGUGUUUGUUUACAUGUGAAGAUCAUACACUGUAUUAUACACACCAGUGUCUGCAUAACUUACGGUUUAUAUAAUUAUUAUAUGAACAGAGAUGGCUAAACAUAUAGUUUUCUACUGUAUGUGAAUAAGUGUUUAGGGCUAGUUGUCAUUUUACACUCCUGUUAAUAUUUCUCAGAUUGGCUUAUAUGCCUUAGGUCUUGCUUUUGAGCAUUUCCAUCAUUGUUGCACAGGUAAAAAGAUACAGUUAAUUUAACCCAUAUUGACCCACAUUUGUAACAACAUUCCCCAGUAGCGGGUCAAAUUAUAUGAGAAGUUGUCACACUGAGAAUCUUCCGUUAUAGCACAUUUAAACAGUUAAACAAUUGCAAAACAUUUAAUGCAAAAGCAAAAAUGCAAUAUGUAACAUACAAAAAUAUUACCAUUGUUAUGUUUAAUAUAAACCAUAAUAGAUAUAAAUAAAUUAUGUAAAUGUUUUAUGUUUUAUAAUUCUGUUUUCCUUUCCUUUACUUUUAUUUGAAUAUUGUGUUUUGAAUGAUGUGUUAUUUGUAUCUGAUGUGAAGCACUUUGGAUACCUUGUGGCUGCUGUAAAGGGCUAUAGAAAUAAAGUUUGAUUGAUUUAAAUUAAGUAAAUUGAAUAAACUGUAUAAAUCAUAAAUAAAGUAUAAAUUGCAGAAGAUUACAAAAUUUGAAACACAUGACUUGCUUCAAUCUAAAAUUAAUAUAAAAAUGCCUUUGUUGUAAGAAAACCACAUUAUAAACAUUUUUUAUUUAUUUUUUUAAAUUGCAUUCAAAUAUUCAUAUGGAUAUUACAUUUAUGUAUGUCAUUGUGGUUUACUUUUUAUGCAUCAGCUAGAAAAAUAUUAUAUUGGAAUUUCUGACUCUUUAUAAAAGACAGAAUUUAUUAAAAAAAAAUGUUGAC